UUGAACGCUGGCGGCAUGCUUAACACGUGCAAGUCGAACGGUAACGCGGGGGCAACCCUGGCGACGAGUGGCGGGCGGGUGAGUAAUGCUUGGGAAUCUACCCAGUAGCGGGGGAUAACCUAGGGAAACUUAGGCUAAUACCGCAUACGACCUACGGGUGAAAGCGGGGGAUCGUAAGACCUCGCACUAUUGGAUGAGCCCAAGUCGGAUUAGCUAGUUGGCGGGGUAACGGCCCACCAAGGCUACGAUCCGUAGCUGGUCUGAGAGGACGAUCAGCCACACUGGUACUGAGACACGGCCCAGACUCCUACGGGAGGCAGCAGUGGGGAAUAUUGGACAAUGGGGGCAACCCUGAUCCAGCAAUGCCGCGUGUGUGAAGAAGGCCUGCGGGUUGUAAAGCACUUUCAGUAGGGAAGAAAAGCCCGGGACUAAUAUUCCCGGGUCUUGACGUUACCUAAAGAAGAAGCACCGGCUAACUCCGU
rnacentral:rRNA from 1 species